rnacentral:rRNA from 1 species
CCUACGGGCGGCAGCAGUGAGGAAUAUUGGUCAAUGGACGAGAGUCUGAACCAGCAAAGUAGCGUGAAGGAUGACUGCCCUAUGGGUUGUAAACUUCUUUUAUAUGGGAAUAAAAUGUUCCACGUGUGGGAUUUUGUAUGUACCAUAUGAAUAAGGAUCGGCUAACUCCGUGCCAGCAGCCGCGGUAAUACGGAGGAUCCGAGCGUUAUCCGGAUUUAUUGGGUUUAAUGGGAGCGUAGGUGGAUUGUUAAGUCAGUUGUGAAAGUUUGCGGCUCAACCGUAAAAUUGCAGUUGAAACUGGCAGUCUUGAGUACAGUAGAGGUGGGCGGAAUUCGUGGUGUAGCGGUGAAAUGCUUAGAUAUCACGAAGAACUCCGAUUGCGAAGGCAGUUCACUGGACUGCAACUGACACUGAGGCUCGAAAGUGUGGGUAUCAAACAGGAUUAGAUACCCCUGUAGUC